UAUGGUAAUGUGCCCGCCGCCGCGGUAAUACGUAGGGCGCAAGCGUUAUCCGGAUUUAUUGGGCGUAAAGGGCUCGUAGGCGGCUCGUCGCGUCCGGUGUGAAAGUCCAUCGCUUAACGGUGGAUCUGCGCCGGGUACGGGCGGGCUGGAGUGCGGUAGGGGAGACUGGAAUUCCCGGUGUAACGGUGGAAUGUGUAGAUAUCGGGAAGAACACCGAUGGCGAAGGCAGGUCUCUGGGCCGUCACUGACGCUGAGGAGCGAAAGCGUGGGGAGCGAACAGG
rnacentral:rRNA from 1 species